AUUGAACGCUGGCGGCAUGCCUUACACAUGCAAGUCGAACGGUAACGCGGGGCAACCUGGCGACGAGUGGCGAACGGGUGAGUAAUGCAUCGGAACGUGCCCGGUAGGGGGGGAUAACUGCGCGAAAGAGCCGCUAAUACCGCAUACGACCUGAGGGUGAAAGGGGGGGAGCGCAAGACCUCUCGCUAUCGGAGCGGGCGAUGUCGGAUUAGCUAGUUGGUGGGGUAAAGGCCUAACAAGGCGACGCUCCGGAGCUGGUCUGAGAGGACGACCAGCCACACUGGGACUGAGACACGGCCCAGACUCCUACGGGAGGCAGCAGUGGGGAAUUUUGGACAAUGGACGCAAGUCUGAUCCAGCCAUGCCGCGUGCGGGAAGAAGGCCUUCGGGUUGUAAACCGCUUUUGUCAGGGAAGAAAUCUUCUGAGUUAAUACCUCGGGAGGAUGACGGUACCUGAAGAAUAAGCACCGGCUAACUACGUGCCAGCCGCCGCCGUAAUAC
rnacentral:rRNA from 1 species